AGAGUUUGAUCNUGGCUCAGAACGUACGCUGGCGGCACGCCUAACACAUGCAAGUCGAACGCAGUAGCAAUACUGAGUGGCAAACGGGUGAGUAUAAUGUGGGAAUCUGCCUUUUGGUUUGGAAUAACACGAGGAAACUUGUGCUAAUACCGGAUAAGCCUUCACAGGGAAAGUUUUAUACGCCAAAAGAUGAGCCUGCACUUGAUUAGCUAGUUGGUGAGGUAAUUGCUCACCAAGGCAACGAUCAAUAGCUGUUCUUAGAGGAAGACCAGCCACAUUGGGACUGAGACACGGCCCAAACUCCUACGGGAGGCAGCAGUGGGGAAUCUUGCACAAUGGGGGAAACCCUGAUGCAGCGAUGCCGCGUGAGUGAAGAAGGCCUUUGGGUUGUAAAACUCUUUCGUCGGGGAAGAAAAUGACUGUACCCGAAUAAGAAG
rnacentral:rRNA from 1 species